ACGCACGCUGGCGGCAUGCCUCACACCUGCAAGUCGAACGAGACCUUCGGGUCUAGUGGCGCACGGGUGCGUAACGCGUGGGAACCUGCCCUUAGGUUCGGAAUAACUCCCCGAAAGGGGUGCUAAUACCGGAUAAUGUCUUCGGACCAAAGAUUUAUCGCCUUUGGAUGGGCCCGCGUUGGAUUAGCUAGUUGGUAGGGUAAAAGCCUACCAAGGCGACGAUCCAUAGCUGGUCUGAGAGGAUGAUCAGCCACACUGGGACUGAGACACGGCCCAGACUCCUACGGGAGGCAGCAGUGGGGAAUAUUGGACAAUGGGCGAAAGCCUGAUCCAGCAAUGCCGCGUGAGUGAUGAAGGCCUUAGGGUUGUAAAGCUCUUUUACCCGGGAUGAUAAUGACAGUACCGGGAGUAUAAGCUCCGGCUAACUCCGUG
rnacentral:rRNA from 1 species